rnacentral:rRNA from 1 species
UACGUAGGGUGCGAGCGUUAAUCGGAAUUACUGGGCGUAAAGUGUGCGCAGGCGGCAGAGCAAGUCGAGUGUGAAAGCCCCGGGCUUAACUUGGGAAUUGCACUCGAAACUACUUUGCUGGAGUGUGGCAGAGGAAGGUGGAAUUCCACGUGUAGCGGUGAAAUGCGUAGAGAUGUGGAGGAACACCAAUGGCGAAGGCAGCCUUCUGGGCCAACACUGACGCUCAUGCACGAAAGCGUGGGGAGCAAACAGG